rnacentral:lncRNA from 1 species
CCUAUUCUUUUGGUGUGUCUGUCCACUGCCUUUUCUAUCAUUAACUACCUUUUGUGCUAUACCCAAUUUGGUUUUCAUUUUAGCUUCUGUUUUUUCAGGAUCACACUGUUGGUUAUGUGCGUGCUCGAAGUGAUCACCUAGCGAAUGGACGUCUCGACGCGGGUUAGACGGUGAAGCUUCGCUCUAGGUCUAUUGUCCCUUUUGUCGUGUCAUGCUGUUUAUGAAUCGAUGUUCUGCUCCGCCGACCCCGGGAAACUUUAGUUAGUGUGGUGUUCGCGAAAGAUUAAUGGCUGUUAGUACUCGGAUCUGAAUUGGUCUUUGCUUUUGUGUGGGGUCUGUUUAGCUGUUGGUUGCUGGUGAAUGUAAGGACAUAAUUGACUGGCUUAUUUAGUAUGCUCGUAAUGGAUUCUAUUUCAUGUCUCCUCGCUUGUUUUACAUGUAACACUGUGCCUGUCGAUACUGUGCUUGAUCCUGUCUUAUAAUUUGAUGUUGAUCUUGAGAUCCAUUGUGUUUUACUUCUAUCGCUAUUCAAUGUUUAUUUUAUUUUAUUAUGAUCCUGUGUAAGUGCAAAUGCUAUACUUGAGUUUCUACUGACAUAUUGUUACAUGCUUCGACAGAACGUUGAGACCGGCACCCUCGCGCCAUGGCGCGAUCCCGAUCUAAUAUCAUAUGCAGCGAGACGGUAGGAACCCUUGCUAAAGGGUGGUGUGAGUGGGGAACGACAUCCUCUUUUUUUUAUUCAUUUUUUGUUUUCUUUUUUUUCUACUUCCAAAUGUCCUAAUAAAUAUAUUUCAAAAUUCACUCUACAUAAAACAUUUGAAAAAUGUUGACCAAACAUUUGAAAAGUGUUAAAUGUCUAUAGAGAAAAUGUUUAUCAUGUAUACAAAUACAAUAAAAUAUGUAUGAAACUAUUUGAUCAUGUAUUAAAAAAAUGUUGAUUAAGUAUUUGAAAAAAAAUGUUGAAAAAGUGCUUGAAAAAUGUUAAUCAAGCAUUUGGAAAAUGUUAAAUAUGUAUAGAAUUUUUUUGACCAUGUAUUAAAAAAAAUAACCAAGCAUAUUUUUCAAUAUGUAUAAAAAAAUGUAGUAAAAAAAUUAUGAAUUUUUUUAUGUACAUAAAAAUGUUAAUCAAGCAUUUGAAGAAAAUGUUGAGCAAGUAUUUAAAAAAUGUUUAAUGUGUUUAAAAAAAUGUUGACCGUGUGCUAAAAAAAUGCUAAUAUUCCAUUUAAAGACUGUUUAUCAAGCAUUUGAAAAAUGUUAAAUGUGCAUAGAAAAAAUGUAGAUCAUAUAUUAGAAAUAUUUAAACAUGUAUUUGGAAAAUGUUAAAUAGAGCAUUUGAAAAGUUUUGAAAGUGUGUAUAGAAAAAAUGUUGACCAUGUAUUCAAAAAUUUAAUCAUGUAUAUGAAAAAUGUUAAUCAAGAAUUUAAAAAUGUAAAAAUAACUGUAUAUAUAAAAUUUUGAUCAUGUAUUAUGAAAAUACGAAGAAAUUAUAUAUUCUGUCAAUGAAAGUCCCUCGCGUAAAUUGCUUUGAAUAGGUAAAUCAAUCAUUUGUCCUUGAGGGUCCGACAUUAAUCCUCUCAUACCUACUAAUUGGAAUGUAUUGGAAUAAUGUUAAACAUGUAUUAGAAAAAUAUUGUUGACAUAUACAAAAAUUGUAGAAUAAAAACCAAAAGAAACAAAGAAGACCAAAAAAAAUGAAAACCCAAAAAGAAACGAACUGAAACCAAGAGAAUGAAAAAUAAAACCAAAGAAAGAAAUGAAAAAGAAAAGGAAAAACCCCAGAGAAAACUGAACAAGAGAAACGUAAAAAAUGAUGGAGAAAACCAGCUAUUUUACCUCAAGUAGGUCGCACCCUAUAGUUUCGUCACGAACACGCUACAGACCUACUGGCUAGAAUCAUAGCAACGAUCGAGGAGACCUGGCUUUGAUCCCUAGUUUUGCCCCUUUUUCUCCACUAUUUCUUUCAUUGGGUGUGUGUUAAUGGGCCGAGCCAAUUGACAGAUGAGAUAAAGAAAUCCUUCUAACUCGCUUAAUGCAAGAUAUACUCGCCUUGCUCUAGCUAAGGCAACUUGACUUAAAUUGCCGACUCAUGUUAUGUAGCAACCAUGGGCCGUAGCAGUUCAGCCUGGCAAAGAGUGGUGGGUUGUAGAGGCGCUUCCGGGGAUCCUUCCAACUCGCUUAAUGCAAGAUAUCCUCGCCACGGUCUAGCUAUGGCAACUUGACAUAAAUUGAUGACUUGUGUGUUACGUGGUAACUGUGGGCUGUCGCAGUUCGGCCUGGCAAAGAGUGGUGCAUUGUAGAGGCACCUCUGGGAUCCUUCCAACUCACUUAAUACAAGAUAUACUCGCCACAAUCUAGCUAAGGCAACUUGAUGUAAUUGAUGACUCAUGUGUUAUGUGGUAAUUGUGUGAUGUAGCCGUUUUGCCUGGCAAAUGCUUUAUCAACAUUUUUCAAAUGCAAGAUUAACAUUUUUUUGUAUGCACGAUCAACAUUUUUUCCAUACACAUUUAACAUUUUCUAAAUACUUGAUUAACAUUUUUGAAAGACAUGUUCAACUUUUUUUUCAAAUACUUGAUUCACACUUUAAUAUACAAUGAUAAAAACAAUUCAUUUUUUUAAUGCAUGGUCCACACUUCCUCUAUACACAUUUAAUAUUUCCAAAUGCUUGUUUAAAUUUUUUGAAAAUAAUUUCAACAUUCUUUAAAUGCUAGAUUAUAUUUUCAUAUACAUGACUAAAAUAUUUCAUUAAUUUUUUAAUGCAUGGUUAACAUUUUUUUCUAUGAACAUUUAACAUUUUUCAAAUGCAUGAUUUUAUUUGUUGAAACAUUAUGAAAGUAUAUUUUUGUAAUAUAUAUGUUUAGAAUAGUUGAAAGUGUACACAAAACAAAAAAAAAGAA